UAGGGAAUCUUCGGCAAUGGGGGGAACCCUGACCGAGCAACGCCGCGUGAGUGAAGAAGGUUUUCGGAUCGUAAAGCUCUGUUGUUAAGGAAGAACGAGUGUGAGAAUGGAAAGUUCAUACUGUGACGGUACUUAACCAGAAAGGGACGGCUAACUACGUGCCAGCAGCCGCGGUAAUACGUAGGUCCCGAGCGUUGUCCGGAUUUAUUGGUCGUAAAGCGAGCGCAGGCGGUUAGAUAAGUCUGAAGUUAAAGGCAGUGGCUCAACCAAUGUAGGCUUUGGAAACUGUUUAACUUGAGUGCAGAAGGAGGGAGUGGAAUUCCAUGUGUAGCGGUGAAAUGCGUAGAUAGGUGGAGAAACGCCGGUGGAGAAAGCGGCUCUCUGGUCUGUAACUGACGCUGAGGCUAGAAAGCGUGGGGAGCGAAGAGG
rnacentral:rRNA from 1 species